rnacentral:tRNA from 1 species
GCCUCGUUAGCUCAGUUGGUUAGAGCACCACACUGAUUAUAGUGGAGGUCGUGGGUUCGAAUCCCACAUGGGGCC